UACGAAGGGUGCAAGCGUUACUCGGAAUUACUGGGCGUAAAGCGUGCGUAGGUGGUGAGUUAAGUCUGUCGCGAAAGCCCCGGGCUCAACCUGGGAAUGGCGAUGGAUACUGGCUCGCUAGAGUGCGGUAGAGGAGAGUGGAAUUCCCGGUGUAGCAGUGAAAUGCGUAGAGAUCGGGAGGAACAUCAGUUGCGAAGGCGGCUCUCUGGACCAGCACUGACACUGAGGCACGAAAGCGUGGGGAGCAAACAGG
rnacentral:rRNA from 1 species